rnacentral:rRNA from 1 species
AGGUAGUAAAUACGUAAAUUUAAAACCUAUUUAUAAUGGCGGCAUUUCAUCUUAUUAGAGGAACUUGUUUUUUAAUCGACAGUCCACGAUAAUUUUCACUUUAAUUAAAAAUUUAUAUACCGCCAUCUAAAGAGUUAAUCCUACAAUAUUAUUCUUAAUAAUAUAUUAAAAAGUUAGGUCAAGGUGUAAUCAAUAUUAAAGUUAAAAUGAGUUACACUAAAAAUUAAUUCAGAAUUGAAUAAUCUUAAAUAUUCAUGAAAAAGGAUUUAAAAGUAAUAAAUUAAUAAAUAAUAAUUUAUUGUGAAUUAGAUAAUAAAUGUGC